rnacentral:rRNA from 1 species
CCUACGGGAGGCAGCAGUGAGGAAUAUUGGUCAAUGGCCGGAAGGCUGAACCAGCCAAGCCGCGUGAAGGACGAAGGUGCCAAGCAUUGUAAACUUCUUUUGUCAAGGGACAAAAUCAGGCUCGAGAGCCUGACCGAGGGUACUUGAAGAAAAAGCAUCGGCUAACUCCGUGCCAGCAGCCGGGGUAAUACGGAGGAUGCGAGCGUUAUCCGGAUUGAUUGGGGUUAAGGGGGGCGUAGGCGGACUGUUAGGUCAGCGGUAAAAGCCCGGGGCCCAACCCCGGCGAGCCGUGGAAACUGGCUGUCUUGAGAGGACGAGAGGUAUGUGGAAUGCGCAGUGUAGCGGUGAAAUGCGUAGAUAUUGGGCAGAACUCCGAUUGCGAAGGCAGCAUACCGGCGGCGAUCUGACGCUGAGGCACGAAAGCGUGGGUAGCGAACAGGAUUAGAUACCCUUGUAGUC